rnacentral:rRNA from 1 species
CCUACGGGAGGCUGCAGUAGGGAAUAUUGCACAAUGGGGGAAAGCCUGAUGCAGCAACGCCGCGUGGGCGAUGAAGGUUUUCGGAUCGUAAAGUCCUGUUGUCAGGGAAGAUAAUGACGGUAUCUGAGGAAGAAGCACCGGCUAACUACGUGCCAGCAGCCGCGGUAAUACGUAGGGGGCUAGCGUUAUCCGGAAUCACUGGGCGUAAAGGGCGCGUAGGUGGGUUACUAAGUCAGAGGUGAAAUGCUACGGCUUAACACUAGUAAGGCCUUUGAAACGGUGAGUCUUGAGUACGGGAGAGGUGGGUGGAAUUCUUGGUGUAGGGGUAAAAUCCGUAGAGAUUAAGAGGAACAC